UACGAAGGGUGCAAGCGUUAAUCGGAAUUACUGGGCGUAAAGCGUGCGCAGGCGGUUCGGUAAGGAAGAUGUGAAAUCCCAGGGCUUAACCUUGGAACUGCAUUUUUAACUGCCGGGCUAGAGUAUGUCAGGGGGGGGUAGAAUUCCACGUGUAGCAGUGAAAUGCGUAGAGAUGUGGAGGAAUACCGAUGGCGAAGGCAGCCCCCUGGGAUAAUACUGACGCUCAUGCACGAAAGCGUGGGGAGCAAACAGG
rnacentral:rRNA from 1 species